rnacentral:lncRNA from 1 species
UGAUAUUUCUGUCUUGGAACCAGCCAGCCAUGGACUGACUGUCCUGGAACCAUGAGCCAAAUUAAACCUUUUAGGUUGCGGAUGUCGAGUGCUGUGUCCAGAAAUGGGAAAACUGACUGCUACAGUGGGAUGUUCACUGAGAGCAGGUGCUGCUGUGGCUAUGGCAGAUUUCACAACCAGUUCUCCUGCAGUGCCGCGUCCGACAAUCCAUUCCAAUUCUGACUCCAACCACCUGCAGUCUGCCUCAGUUCCUCAGCUCAAAGGUAGGGUCCCCACAGAGUGCCCUGACUUCAGAUGCCAGCUGCACUGGUGGUCCCCAGGCC